AGUAAUUAUCAGUACAACCCAGCCUUGGACAUCCUAAUGCAGAGCACUUAUUGGAUGUCUUAAGUGCUUUCUGUUAGGAUAAGUCUGCUAGGAUCAAGCUCCUUAAGAUACU
rnacentral:precursor_RNA from 12 species